UCCAGACUCCUACGGGAGGCAGCAGUGAGGAAUAUUGGUCAAUGGGCGAGAGCCUGAACCAGCCAAGUCGCGUGAAGGAUGACGGCCCUACGGGUUGUAAACUUCUUUUGUCAGGGAGCAAUUGGGUCCACGCGUGGGCUUAGCGAGAGUACCUGAAGAAAAAGCAUCGGCUAACUCCGUGCCAGCAGCCGCGGUAAUACGGAGGAUGCGAGCGCUAUCCGGAUUUAUUGGGUUUAAAGGGUGCGUAGGCGGAAUAUCAAGUCAUCGGUAAAAAUUCGGGGCUCAACCCCGUCGUGCCGUUGAAACUGAUGUUCUUGAGUGGGCGAGAAGUAUGCGGAAUGCGUGGUGUAGCG
rnacentral:rRNA from 1 species